GGCGUAGCUCAGUUGGUAGAGCACAGGAUUGUGGCUCCUGGUGUCGUGGGUUCGAUUCCCAUCGUC
rnacentral:tRNA from 4 species